rnacentral:rRNA from 1 species
CCAAAAUGUCAACUUGCUGUUCGGGUUCCUGACUGAUUGGCUCCGCGAAUGUGAUAAUUAUCCCAACUGGGGAGUACGUUCGCAAGAAUGAAACUCCAGGAAUUGAUGGGGGCCCGCACAAGCGGUGGAGCAUGUGGUUUAAUUCUAUGAUACGCGAGGAACCUUACCACGGCUUCUAUGUAUAUUGACAAAUUUGGAAACAUAUUUUUCUUCCGACAAUUUACAAGGUGCUGCAUGGUUGUCGUCAGCUCGUGCCGUGAGGUGUCAGGUUAAGUCCUAUAACGAGCGCAACCCCUAUUGUUAGUUACCAGCGCGUACUGGCGGGGACUCUACCAAGACUGCCCGUGCAAACCGUGAGGGAAGUGGGGAUGACAUCACAUCAUCACGGCCCUUACCUCCUGAGCUACACACGUGCUACAAUGGCAAGUACACAAAAGCAGCUACCUGGCCUCAGGAUGCCAAUCUCCCAAGCUUGUCUGCGUUCGGAUUGGAGUCUGCAACUCCACUCUAUGAAGCUGGAAUCGCUAUUAAUCGGAUAUCAGCAAUGAUCCGGUGAAUACAUUCCCUGGCCUUGUACACACCGCCCGUCCAGCCAUGGAAGCUGAGUGUACCUGAAAUCAGUGACCGCACUGAGCUGUCUAGGGUACAACUACUAACUAGUGCUACAUGAUAGGGGGGGAGCACAAACAAGGGAAACAAA